rnacentral:rRNA from 1 species
UACGGAGGGGGCUAGCGUUGUUCGGAAUUACUGGGCGUAAAGCGCACGUAGGCGGACUGUUAAGUCGGGGGUGAAAUCCUGGAGCUCAACUCCAGAACUGCCUCCGAUACUGGCAGUCUCGAGUGCGGGAGAGGUGAGUGGAAUUCCCAGUGUAGAGGUGAAAUUCGUAGAUAUUGGGAAGAACACCAGUGGCGAAGGCGGCUCACUGGCCCGUAACUGACGCUGAGGUGCGAAAGCGUGGGGAGCAAACAGG